rnacentral:rRNA from 1 species
GUAGUCCACGCUGUAAACGAUGGAUGCUAGGUGUAGGAGGUAUCGACCCCUUCUGUGCCGGAGUUAACACAAUAAGCAUCCCGCCUGGGGAGUACGGCCGCAAGGUUGAAACUCAAAGGAAUUGACGGGGGCCCGCACAAGCAGCGGAGCAUGUGGAUUAAUUCGAAGCGACGCGAAGAACCUUACCAGGUCUUGACAUCCCUUGACGUAGGCGGAAACGUCUAUUCCCUUCGGGGCAAGGAGACAGGUGGUGCAUGGUUGUCGUCAGCUCGUGUCGUGAGAUGUUGGGUUAAGUCCCGCAACGAGCGCAACCCUUAUUUUUAGUUACUAACGGGUAGUGCCGAGGACUCUAAAGAGACUGCCGUGGAUAACACGGA